CCUUCCGUGUCGGCUCUGCCUGUCAUUAUGAAGCAGAAUUCACCAAGCGUUGGAUUGCUCACCCACUAAUAGGGAACGUGAGCGGGGAUUAGAACGUCGUGAGACAAGUU
rnacentral:ncRNA from 1 species